CAACCACCAUACACACACCCUCUACAUUGAUAGAUAGCUCAUUUUCCGUCCGACUACUUUCGAGCCCGCUCUUACUCUCACGCCGGAGGCGCCUCGGGGUCCAAACCCCCCUCCGGCGUUGUUUUGCAGGCACCCAUCCAGCAGCUACACCGCAAGACGACGGAGCAAGGCGGAGAAAGGGCCGGAACGGGAUCUGGCGUUAUCAUUUGGCGCUAGAAGGAGGGCUGGUGUAUCUCCGUCCUGUGGUCACGGUGCCACUGGACUCAUCUUCAUCAGCAAGCUCCCGACAAGGGAGUCCCGUUUCAUCUCUGUAAGCUUCAACAAACUCCAACCUUUAAGACACCAUCUUAGCCAUGGCUAUUCUGUUGUGUGCACGUUAGCAAACCCCACCCACAAGAAGGACAAAAUUUGUCUCUAGUAAAUUAAGCACUUUGUCUGGUAGCAUCUUAUACUUCUUGGCACAUAGCCAUUUCAAGCAUUCCCCAAAGUAGUAAGUUGACUGUCUGUCUAUACUACUUAUGUCAUUCUGUUACUACCCAUAUUGCACACAUACACUUUCACCAAAAAAGCAAUCAUAAACUUUCAAACUGAGAAUUCUCCAAGCAACCAAUCCGGAUUCAAUCAUUUAUUCAUUACUUGAAUUAUUUUUUCAAGGAGAGAAUUCUCCAAGCAACCAAUCCGGAUAUAAGCAACCAAUCCGGAUUCAAUCAUUUAUUUAUUACUUGAAUUAUUUUUUCAAGGAGAGAAUUCUCCAAGCAACCAAUCCGGAUAUAAGCAACCAAUCCGGAUUCAAUCAUUUAUUUAUUACUUGAAUUAUUUUUUCAAGGAGAGAAUUCUCCAAGCAACCAAUCCGGAUAUAAGCAAACAAUCCGGAUCCAACCAUUUAUUCACUACUUGAAACAUUUUUUCAAUCCAAGCAACCAAUCCGGAUUCAAUCAUUUAUUUAUUACUUGAAUUAUUUUUUCAAGGAGAGAAUUCUCCAAGCAACUAAUCCGGAUAUAAGCAAACAAUCCGGAUCCAACCAUUUAUUCACUACUUGAAACAUUUUUUCAAGCCAAGCAACCAAUCCGGACUCAAUCAUUUAUUUACUACUUGAAUCAUUUUUUCAAGCCAAGCAACCAAUCCGGACUCAACCAUUUAUUUACUACUUGAAUCAUUUUUUCAAGCCAAGCAACCAAUCCGGAUCCAACCAUUUAUUCACUACUUGAAACAUUUUUUCAAGCCAAGCAACCAAUCCGGACUCAACCAUUUAUUUACUACUUGAAUCAUUUUUUCAAGCCAAGCAACCAAUCCGGAUCCAACCAUUUAUUCACUACUUGAAUCAUUUUUUCAAGCCAAGCAACCAAUCCGGAUCCAACCAUUUAUUUACUACUUGAAUCAUUUUUUCAAGCCAAGCAACCAAUCCGGAUCCAACCAUUUAUUCACUACUUGAAACAUUUUUUCAAGCCAAGCAACCAAUCCGGACUCAACCAUUUAUUUACUACUUGAAUCAUUUUUUCAAGCCAAGCAACCAAUCCGGAUCCAACCAUUUAUUCACUACUUGAAACAUUUUUUCAAGCCAAGCAACCAAUCCGGAUCCAACCAUAUAUUCACUACUUGAAACAUUUUUUUUCAAGCCAAGCAACCAAUCCGGACUCAACCAUUUAUUUACUACUUGAAUCAUUUUUUCAAGCCAAGCAACCAAUCCGGAUCCAACCAUUUAUUCACUACUUGAAUCAUUUUUUCAAGCCAAGCAACCAAUCCGGACUCAACCAUUUAUUUACUACUUGAAUCAUUUUUUCAAGCCAAGCAACCAAUCCGGAUCCAACCAUUUAUUCACUACUUGAAUCAUUUUUUCAAGCCAAGCAACCAAUCCGGAUCCAACCAUUUAUUUACUACUUGAAUCAUUUUUUCAAGCCAAGCAACCAAUCCGGAUCCAACCAUUUAUUCACUACUUGAAACAUUUUUUCAAGCCAAGCAAUCAAUCCGGACUCAACCAUUUAUUUACUACUUGAAUCAUUUUUUCAAGCCAAGCAACCAAUCCGGAUUCAAUCAUUUAUUCAUUACUUGAAUUAUUUUUUCAAGGAGAGAAUUCUCCAAGCAACUAAUCCGGAUAUAAGCAAACAAUCCGGAUCCAAUCAUUUAUUCACUACUUGAAACAUUUUUUCAAGCCAAGCAACCAAUCCGGACUCAAUCAUUUAUUUACUACUUGAAACAUUUUUUCAAGCCAAGCAACCAAUCCGGACUCAACCAUUUAUUUACUACUUGAAUCAUUUUUUCAAGCCAAGCAACCAAUCCGGAUCCAACCAUUUAUUCACUACUUGAAACAUUUUUUCAAGCCAAGCAACCAAUCCGGAUCCAACCAUAUAUUCACUACUUGAAACAUUUUUUUUCAAGCCAAGCAACCAAUCCGGACUCAACCAUUUAUUUACUACUUGAAUCAUUUUUUCAAGCCAAGCAACCAAUCCGGAUCCAACCAUUUAUUCACUACUUGAAACAUUUUUUCAAGCCAAGCAAUCAAUCCGGAUCCAACCAUUUAUUUACUACUUGAAUCAUUUUUUCAAGCCAAGCAACCAAUCCGGAUUCAAUCAUUUAUUCAUUACUUGAAUUAUUUUUUCAAGGAGAGAAUUCUCCAAGCAACCAAUCCGGAUAUAAGGAAUCAAUCCGGAUUCAACCAUUUAUUUAUUACUUGAAUUAUUUUUUCAAGGAGAGAAUUCUCCAAGCAACUAAUCCGGAUAUAAGCAAACAAUCCGGAUCCAAUCAUUUAUUCACUACUUGAAACAUUUUUUCAAGCCAAGCAACCAAUCCGGACUCAAUCAUUUAUUUACUACUUGAAACAUUUUUUCAAGCCAAGCAACCAAUCCGGACUCAACCAUUUAUUUACUACUUGAAUCAUUUUUUCAAGCCAAGCAACCAAUCCGGAUCCAACCAUUUAUUCACUACUUGAAACAUUUUUUCAAGCCAAGCAACCAAUCCGGACUCAACCAUUUAUUUACUACUUGAAACAUUUUUUCAAGCCAAGCAACCAAUCCGGACUCAACCAUUUAUUUACUACUUGAAUCAUUUUUUCAAGCCAAGCAACCAAUCCGGAUCCAACCAUUUAUUCACUACUUGAAACAUUUUUUCAAGCCAAGCAAUCAAUCCGGACUCAACCAUUUAUUUACUACUUGAAUCAUUUUUUCAAGCCAAGCAACCAACCCGGAUUCAAUCAUUUAUUCAUUACUUGAAUUAUUUUUUCAAGGAGAGAAUUCUCCAAGCAACCAACCCGGAUAUAAGCAACCAAUCCGGAUUCAAUCAUUUAUUCAUUACUUGAAUUAUUUUUUCAAGGAGAGAAUUCUCCAAGCAACCAAUCCGGAUAUAAGCAACCAAUCCGGACUCAACCAUUUAUGUACUACUUGAAAUAUUUUUUAAAGGCAAGAAUUCUUCAAGCAACCAAUCCGGACUCAACCAUUUAUGUACUACUUGAAAUAUUUUUUCAAGCCAAGGAACCGAUCCAGAGUAUAAUACUAUAUUGUACUUACAAUUACCAUUCUACAAGUGACCAAUACCGGACCCAGCUAUCCACCUAAGGCAAGGAUUUAUUCAACAGCCAAAUCGGGUUACUUCCCAAUUAUUACUUGGAAAAAUAUUCCAAGGCAAGAGGAGCAGCAGAAAAGAGGUCUAGCAUGAUCCGGACUCGCUUCACACAUCUAAGACGCAAAAACUCUUUCAAAAGAGAUUGGAUAACCCGGACCCUGCAUUAUCACUACCAACCUGCCAAGCUAUCCAGAUCAUAUGACAAAAAAGAAAAAUAAAAUACAAGCCCGAACCGGAAACGCAAUAGCUAUAAUCAAACAAAAACAGCAAUCAAGAAAGCAAACAACAACUAAUGAAGCAAAAGGUCAUCAAGAUUACGCCCAAGUAACAGAUCCAGUCCGGAACACAACCGACCCAAGCAGAAACAAGUUCAAGACUACAAAGAAAACAAGUUCAGGUUUACAAAAGAGAGAAUGCGCUAAACCAAGACAAAGCAAAAGAUAGAACUAUCCGGCGGUCGAAUCCUGAACGACAAGAUGAUCCAGACCGAUAUCUUGGUCCAACUCCUUGGGAAGAAAGCUAGGAGUAGGCCCAUCAAAUGGUUCCGGCUCCCCAAGACCCUUUUCGAGGUCCUCCUUAGCCUUGACAUAUAAGCCACAAAAGCUAUCGAAGCAUGCCUCUGGGUCAGACUUGAUAUGUCUCUCGGCCACAGUCCAACAAUGUAUGAUCUCGGUUGCCCCAGCAUCGGCCAAAGCACGGUCAUACUCAUCAGACUCCUGGAACUCGGAAAUCACCACUGCAGGCUCUUUCCUCUCAGCAAGCUGUGGCUUCAGACUCUCGAUCUCGGUCUCAAACUCGGACAUCCGAGUCUCAGCUGCCUUCAACUUCUCGCCCAAAUCGUCAACUGAGGACUUGGCCAAUUUCAGAUCCGUGUCCAAAGUUGUGAUCCGGAUAUCCUUAUCAUCCGAAGCCGCCUUCUCCUCCCUCAGUUGGUUUGAGCUCAGGGCAACCAUCCCAGCAAUUGCAAUGCCCAUCUGAAAAAUUCAAAUCCCCACAUUUCAGCAACAAAAACAGAAAAGAAUAGUUAAACAACUAAAGUUGAUACACUCACCUGACCCCAAACCGCAGCAGCUUUCCUGUACAUUCCCACCGUUCCGGAUCCCCCCCUCUUAUCAUCCACUUGAUGCCAUUCGGGGUUAUCUGCAUUGGUGAACACUUAUACACAUAUUUACACAAGUGUUUGAAGAGGAGGUGCCACCGGGGGUUCCACCCGGACCUAAGAUGUUCUAACCAAACGGGAACGAACCCAUCAGCCGGUUUAUGAUAAAUUCUUUCCCCCGGCUUAGGCCAUCCCCACUCUAUCUCUGGACCUAGCUGGAAAGCAGACCUCACCACGAUGUCCAUCUCCUCCUUAGGCAAGGAAGUGAGACUCUCCUUCAGAGGAUAGGGGGCCCGGACCAUAGCGAACUCUGCAAACCUAGAAUCAACGUCCUCCUUAUCAUAAGGACCAGGAUCCCCAUCCGGAUGCCUAUCACGAUACAACCUACUCAAAUCCCGAAAGUAUCGGGUGUCGGGAACAUCCGGAGCCUUCUUCACAAAGUGAUAAUUACUAUCUGUCCAACAACCAUCCGGAGUGAACAACACCUGUCUAUUCGAAACCUCCUUCACAGAAAAUCUCUUUGACAAAACAGCAGCCCGGGGCACGGUUGGAGGACUCGGAUCCCCCCCUCUUAGCUGACUCCUUUGUCCGGACCAUACACCUACAUACAACAACCCAUUCCGAACCUACCACUCCAAUCCAGACUCAUGCGGAACAAAACAAAACAAAAACAAGCAAAUAUUCGACAGGAGCAAACAAAACCAAAAAACCAAGUCCGAACUCGCCAGCCCGACCCCAACCAAACUCAUACACACUGACAACCAAAAAACAAAAAGCUCCCAUUUAUCACACAAGAAUCCCAAAAGCCAACCGCCAACAUACAUAUUCGACAGCAAGAUUAAACCACUAUAAACUAGAAAGCCAAUCCAUACGCAACUCAGUUCUGACUCAGAAGUUCAAAAACGCUAGUCCGAGCCCACCAGUCGAGACUGACAAAAAACAAAAGGAAAAACAACAGCCUAUGCAUGUGUGCAACCCGGACUCCCGACACACAACCCGGACCUAUAAGCAAACACACUAGCUUUUAUCUAUACAUACACACAGAGAAAACUAAAAGAAUAAACCAACACCCAGUCCGGACCUACUGCCAGGAUCCAGACUCAUGCGGACGACCAUUCACAAACCCAUACAAACACAAAACCAAAAACAUGACUACUGUUCACACAACACCCCAAAAUCACAGAUUGCCGAACCCAGAAAAACGAAAACGCAGCAACCAAAAGAAACCAACUGAGCAAAACUGGGUCUCCUCGGUGAAUUUAAACUCGCUACAACUGAGCAAGAUCAGCCCAAAACAACUCGAAAAUAAUCUGCCAAACUCGGUGAGAGUACAAGACUCGGCACAUUCAAAACCCAGACUCAAGAAAGCAAGUCACGACUGGAAUUAUGUAUUAACAAAACUCAGCAGCACAAGACUUAAAACCAGCUACUCAGACUCACAAACACGGCGAACAGAACAUAAACAUAUGGAGCAUAGCUUUCAAACAUCAACCCGGACUCACAACAAGUAUCCAGACCUCAUUCUUGAACGAGUAUAUCUCAUAUUUUUGUCCGCAAAGUUUUCAAAAAGAAGAAAAGUCAAGUGGAAAGCAAAUAGCAUAAGCCAAGAGCAAUAUUCAACCUGGACCUCGUUUUCGGUCCUGGACCCAUCACACUAGUCCCGAUCCUGGGAUUCAAAAAGAAAAAAGACAUCGCCUCCUGAUUGAUCCGGACCCCGUUUGUGGUCCUGGACCCAAGCCGAGGUCAGCCAAGAGCAAUAUUCGACCUGGACCUCGUUUUCGGUCCUGGACCCAUCACACUAGUCCCGGACCUGGGAUUCAAAAAGAAAAAAGACAUCGCCUCCUGAUUGAUCCGGACCCCGUUUGUGGUCCUGGACCCAAGCCUAGGUCAGCCAAGAGCAAUAUUCAACCUGGACCUCGUUUUCGGUCCUGGACCCAUCACACUAGUCCCGGACCUGGGAUUCAAAAAGAAAAAAGACAUCGCCUCCUGAUUGAUCCGGACCCCGUUUGUGGUCCUGGACCCAAGCCGAGACCUCGGCUCUUCAAAAAAGCAAACAGCAGAAGUGUUAAAGGAAAUAACGCCAAAAAUACGCCUCACGAGCCCACAAAGGGAAAGUCCAAGCUAAUCCAGAUCAAGGCCCUACAAAAUUCUGAUCUGCUACUUGGCUUCAUUCCCGAACAACGAGUACAGACUCAUUCGCAUUUCGCCUGGUUAGGACGAAUUCUUCGUACCCGAACAUAUUCGAACAUCGCAGAGGAUUAUCAAAUCAACCCGAACUACGCCGACAACAAAAACCCACCUCUAGUCUGGAUCCAUCAAGCCUCGGGAUCAAGAACAAAAAUCACACCCCGGACAAGGGGGGGAAAACAAAAACUGCACCCUCUCCGCAAUCAGCCCGGACCGAACACAACACUCUACUCCCUNCAAACGUGCUCAGUAUAUCCCGUUUAGAGCAGGGUCUGAAGAGGGUAAAAUAUACGCAGAACAUGCCUCUACCCUUAAAGUAGAGAGGCUGUUUCCGUGAGACCCCCGGCUUAGUGCAUAAUAAAUAAAAUUGUGUGUGAUACAAUAUAACUAUAAUACCUUAGCCCAUGGCCUUCUUCACAUGGGACUUACUUAAAAAUUUCUCAAGGUAUAACCCGGAUCCAAGCACUACAUGACCCGGAGAUGAUCCCGGACCCAGGAGAUGAUCCCGGACCCAGGAGAUGAUCCCGGACCCCGGAGAUGACCCGGACCCAAGACACGAUCCUAGACUUCGGAGAUGAUCCGGACCCAGGAGAUGAUCUCGGACUCAGACACAACCAGUCCAUCCCUCUCCCGGACCAGCACACGAUGAAUGGAAGGCCCAGGUGAUAGGGACAUAACAUGAACAACUACUGUCAAGAAACGACAAGCUGACACGGGGACACGUGUAAGGAUUCGAGACAUACAGGUGUAUGGCCAAGAUUCAGGUUUCCUACCCUUAAACCCUAAUCCUUGGCCUAUAAAUAGACCAAGGAUAAGAGGUUUAGGACUCUCUUCUUCUCUCUUCUCUACCUUAUGCCUCCACACUCAUAUUUCCCACAUAUACAUUCAGCAAACAUAAACACACAAGCAACCACACACCGCAACCACCAUACACACACCCUCUACAUUGAUAGAUAGCUCAUUUUCCGUCCGACUACUUUCGAGCCCGCUCUUACUCUCACGCCGGAGGCGCCUCGGGGUCCAAACCCCCCUCCGGCGUUGUUUUGCAGGCACCCAUCCAGCAGCUACACCGCAAGACGACGGAGCAAGGCGGAGAAAGGGCCGGAACGGGAUCUGGCGUUAUCACU
rnacentral:lncRNA from 1 species